rnacentral:lncRNA from 1 species
CAACUCUCUGCUGCAUUGCAUUGCAUCUAUGGCAGAGGACAAGUACAAUCGAAAAAAUCUGGCGGUGAAGAGGAUAUUGCAAGAAGUCAGAGAGAUGCAAUCUAAUCCUUCAGAUGAUUUCAUGAGCCUACGUCUAGAGGUAAUUUUUUCUAAUUAAAAACAAUUUUCAGUUAUAUUUGAUGAAUUUCUUAUAAUUUUUGCUAUUGUUUCUAUUCUAUUGUUGUUCGAUAUUGCUUGGUUUACCUGGAUCUAGAUCUUGUUCAUGAGAUAUUGAUUGUUGAAUUUUUAGGAAUUACGUUGGAAACAUGGUUCGCAACUUUCAUUUUUUGCUGAAGA